rnacentral:rRNA from 1 species
GAUGAACGCUGACAGAAUGCUUAACACAUGCAAGUCUUUGGCGAAGCUGUGCUUGCACAGCCUAGCCAAGGCGGACGGGUGAGUAACGCGUAAGGAACUUGCCCUGCAGUCAGGGAUAACAGACGGAAACGACUGAUAAGACCUGGUAAAGUCAGGCGGACUCAUGUCCAGCCUGAUGAAAAGAGAUGCUGCAGGAGAGCCUUGCGUCCUAUUAGCUUGUUGGUGGGGUAACGGCCCACCAAGGCGAUGAUAGGUAGCCGGCCUGAGAGGGUGGACGGCCACAAGGGGACUGAGAUACGGCCCUUACGCCUACGGGAGGCAGCAGUGGGGAAUAUUAGACAAUGAGGGCAACCCUGAUCCAGCAAUUCUGUGGGCACGAUGAAGGUUUUCGGAUUGUAAAGUGCUUUCAGCAGGGAAGAAAAAAAUGACGGUACCUGCAGAAGAAGCGACGGCUAAAUACGUG